CAACACUCUCCUCAGCAGUAACAACCAUUUGGUUUUAAUACUCAUUGACUUUUCUUUCAAGGAUCCAGAUAGUGAGCUGUGGACUUGGCUUCUCUUCUUUCUGGCAUCCGAGGCCAUGAUUUGGGUGACUCAGCCAGCUGAGGGCUGACUCAUCUGGAGGUGUCUUCAUUCACAAGUGUGACUCAGCGGCUGUGUCGAGCUAAGACUGUCAACUGGUCAUCUAUGUGGCCUUUUACUCUACUGUUCAGCAUCUUGGUUGAGUUCUAAAGGGAGAACCUAAGAGCAAGGAGAAGACCAGCUUUUCCCUAACCAAACAGAAUGAAGAAGCUGAGCUCUGUGUCCUCUUGUGAACUCUUCUGUUGGAGGAAAAAUUGUGAAUCACAAGCCUCUCGGGGCAAAGCCCAACAUAUAAGUAUCAGAAACAGGAACAGCUACUGAUGGCCAUAAAGAAGGGAUCAUACGUCCUCAUGAACUUCCAAGACUGAUAGCUGAAACCACAUUAGUUUGUAUAAUUAAUACAGACUUAAAAAUAAAAAGAAUGAGGACAAUAGCCUAAAUGGAUCCUGGAUAUAUGAAUGACCAUGUGGACCAGAGCAGAAUUCUGUCUACAGUGCUGGACGCUGAGCUCCACAUGCAAAGUAAUUACAGAUCAACGUCCAGAGAACUCAUUAGAAAAGCAGAGGCCGGGGGCUGGAGAGAUGGCUCAGAGGUUAAAAGCACUGACUGCUCUUCCAGAGGACCUGAGUUCAAUUCUCAGCAACCACAUGGUGGCUCACAACCAUCCGUUAUGAGAUCUGGUGCCCUCUGCUGGUGUGCAGAUAUACAUGGAAGCAGAAUGUUGUAUACAUAAUAAAUAAAUAAAAUCUAAAAAAAAAAAAAAGAAAGAAAAGAA
rnacentral:lncRNA from 1 species